CCUACGGGCGGCAGCAGUGAGGAAUAUUGGUCAAUGGACGAAAGUCUGAACCAGCCAAGCCGCGUGAAGGAAGACGGCUCUAUGGGUUGUAAACUUCUUUUAUAUGGGAGUAAAGUUGAGUAUGUAUAUUGAGUUGGAAGUACCUUACGAAUAAGGAUCGGCUAACUCCGUGCCAGCAGCCGCGGUAAUACGGAGGAUCCAAGCGUUAUCCGGAUUUAUUGGGUUUAAAGGGAGCGUAGGCGGACGGAUAAGUCAGAUGUGAAAUGUCCGGGCUUAACCCUGGAACUGCCUUUGAUACUGUUUGUCUUGAGUGCAGGUGAGGUAGGCGGAAUUCGUGGUGUAGCGGUGAAAUGCUUAGAUAUCAUGCAGAACACCGAUUGCGAAGGCAGCUUACUGGACUGUAACUGACGCUGAGGCACGAAAGCGUGGGUAGCAAACAGGAUUAGAUACCCCAGUAGUC
rnacentral:rRNA from 1 species